GAAGCGGGAACCGGGCACGGAACAGGCCGGUCAGGCCCGGGGUGCCCCGCCGAAAGGCGAGGCGGCA
rfam:Frankia sp. ETN1f ctg00315, whole genome shotgun sequence.